UACAGAGGGUGCAAGCGUUAAUCGGAAUUACUGGGCGUAAAGCGUGCGUAGACGGUUAUGUAAGUCAGAUGUGAAAGCCCCGGGCUCAACCUGGGAACUGCAUUUGAUACUGAGUGGCUAGAGUUCGGGAGAGGAGAGUGGAAUUCCCAGUGUAGAGGUGAAAUUCGUAGAUAUUGGGAAGAACACCGGUGGCGAAGGCGGCUCUCUGGACCGAUACUGACGCUGAGGCGCGAAAGCGUGGGGAGCAAACAGG
rnacentral:rRNA from 1 species